UACGGGGGGGGCAAGCGUUGUUCGGAAUUACCGGGCGUAAAGGGCUGGUAGGCGGCCAACUAAGUCGGAUGUGAAAUCCCCAGGCUUAACCUGGGAACUGCAUCCGAUACUGGUCGGCUUGAAUCCGGGAGAGGGAUGCAGAAUUCCAGGUGUAGCGGUGAAAUGCGUAGAUAUCUGGAGGAAUACCGGUGGCGAAGGCGGCAUCCUGGACCGGCAUUGACGCUGAACAGCGAAAGCUAGGGGAGCAAACGGG
rnacentral:rRNA from 1 species